AUGUUCUCUGCUGGGACGGAUCCGGGUAUCUGGACCGAAGGUCGUCUUCGUUUUUCUCCGCACUCAACUUGGAUGGCACUUCUCGAUUUGGAGAACGACGUUCAUGCCGGUGAACCCUUUCCGAACGGCGGCAUGCUCCAGGUAGGAUUUCAAUUCAAUUUUGAUGCGUAUGUAGUGGUUGUUGGCGAACGUGUGCAGAUCGAUGUGCGUCCUAAGGCGCCGGAGGUGGUCGAUCUGACGGCACCGACGGCCUCUACACGACCGGGCGGACGAUUUUGGGUAUUUUUGGAGAGCGAGGACGAAGAACAGGUGGAGGUUCAGGUUCCCACAAGAACACUUGUGACCUCGCAGGGUGCGCGUGUGUUGCCGGAGCCCAACGCCACAACACUUCGUCGUCGAUCCAAAGUUCAAAUUUCCAAACCGCCGACGAAACCAUGGAUCGGACCAAUUCCUAAGGUUAUCUUCAGAACUACAGCUUGGAUCCGUACGUGGUCCUUACUCACUCCUAUGGACUCCAGGGAGCCUUUGGUUACUGGGUGCAACCAAUGGGAGAUGGUGGCUCGGGCUAUAUUCAACCGGUUCGGAUGGCGGUCGCAUAACAGGAUAGGAGUCUAG
rnacentral:rRNA from 1 species